GACGAACGCUGGCGGCGUGCUUAACACAUGCAAGUCGAACGGAAAGGCCCUGCUUUUGUGGGGUGCUCGAGUGGCGAACGGGUGAGUAUCACGUGAGUAACCUGCCCUUGACUUUGGGAUAACUUCAGGAAACUGGGGCUAAUACCGGAUAGGAGCUCCUGCUGCAUGGUGGGGGUUGGAAAGUUUCGGCGGUUGGGGAUGGACUCGCGGCUUAUCAGCUUGUUGGUGGGGUAGUGGCUUACCAAGGCUUGACGGGUAGCCGGCCUGAGAGGGUGACCGGCCACAUUGGGACUGAGAUACGGCCCAGACUCCUACGGGAGGCAGCAGUGGGGAAUAUUGCACAAUGGGCGGAAGCCUGAUGCAGCAACGCCGCGUGCGGGAUGACGGCCUUCGGGUUGUAAACCGCUUUCGCCUGUGACGAAGCGUGAGUGACGGUAAUGGGUAAAGAAGCACCGGCUAACUACGUG
rnacentral:rRNA from 1 species